rnacentral:rRNA from 1 species
GACAGAGGUGCCAAGCGUUAGGCGGAAUCACUGGGCUUAAAGCGUGUGUAGGCGGAUCGUUAAGUACCUUGUGAAAUCCCACGGCUCAACCGUGGAACUGCUCGGUAUACUGGCGGUCUUGAGCCACCUAGGGGCAACUGGAACAAGCGGUGGAGCGGUGAAAUGCGUAGAUAUCGCUUGGAACGCCAACGGUGAAAACAGGUUGCUGGGGGUGUGCUGACGCUGAGGCGCGAAAGCUAGGGGAGCGAACGGG